GGGGCGUUGGUAAAAUCCGUAAGCAAUUGGAGUUUUUUUUGUAGUGCAUGUAUGACAGUUCUUUUGCGGUCCAACAAGCAGGUGAAGACCAUCUUCCAUUUAAGGACAUAUUCUGGCAUAGUUGGUUCGGUGUUAGUUAGCAGUUAGCUGUACAGAUUUAUUAGUAGUUAGUUAUUAUAUGUUAGUUGUCAGUCAGUUAGUUGACAAGAGGGGCUUGCUCUGAUAGUAAGCAACUCCCAUUUUCAAUCGAAAGGUUGUGAGUUCGAGUCUCCCCAAGAGCAAAGGUGGGUAGUUUUCGGAGGGAAGGAUGCCGGGGGUCUAUUUGGAAACAGCCUCUCUACCCCAGGGUAGGGGUAAGGUCUGCAUACAUACUAACCUCCCCAGACCCCACUAAGUGGGAUUAUACUGGAUUGCACUUUUUUUUUUUAGAAAAUACUCUGUAUAAGUAGUGAUGUACAGCUCAUAUAAAAGUACGUGGAAAUUAUUUUCCCACAACUCUCUUCUCCUUCCAUAUCUCUCAAUUGCCCUAUCUAGAAACUUCCAUGGCUUCAUCUCAACGUAUUAUUAGAGCUACAGCGGUGAAUUAAUCACGCCAUUUGUGUUAUUGUGACCGUAGAUUGUUUAAGUUUCACUCUAUGGAAUCACUCGAUUGAAAUUUGUGUUCUCUUCUGAUCUAACAAUGCCGGACUCUUCGACUCCAACAAUGGCGGAGGCCAAAAUUGAUCAUACUCAUCCUUCAUUUAUGCAUCCAUCGGACACCCUAAGCUCUCUAUUAUUUCCGGUUCAGCUCCAGUGCUUCGAUAAUCACGCAUUAUGGAGGAGGCCGACGAGAACUGCGUUUUAAGCUAAACGAAAGCUAGGGUUUGUUAAUGCUGCUUGUACUAAGGAGUCGUUUUCUACAACAUUGCAUGUGUGGGAUUGCAUAUAAAUGUUUGUAACACGCAGCGGAAGACAAUAACAAUCUUAGGAAGAUCAUUUUGUGUUUAAAAUUUAUUUACAUGCCAAGAAUCGGAUCUAAGACAUACCUUGUAAAGAGUGUCUCGUUUCAAAAUUUCUUCGAUAGUGUGAAGAUUCUAUGUGUAUCCGCACCAAAAUUGAUUUUUUGCUAUUAACUCUUCGAUCAAUUAAAACCAGCGAACAAAUUGGAUAAAUUGUGUGCUGAAAUUUUUUCUCAAAAACUUCCAGCCAACUUCUUGACAAUGAAAAUAAUUAUUUUGUCAAAUAUAUCUCUUGUUGUCUCACUCCAAA
rnacentral:lncRNA from 1 species